GCCUCUAUAGCUCAGUGGCAGAGCACUGGUCUCGUAAACCAGGGGUCGUGAGUUCAAUCCUUACUUGAGGCA
rnacentral:tRNA from 1 species